rnacentral:tRNA from 1 species
GGCUGUAGCUCAGUGGUACAGUGCUUGCCUUGCAUGCGUGAGGCACUGAGUUUGAUCCUCAGCACCA